AUAUGACUUUUGUAUUACAGUCCACGAAACAGAAAUCCGAAUAAGAAAUUCUGUUAACCCGGGAGAAGGUAUUAGGUAUUCCUGGGUUCCGUGGUUCUAGCACAGUCUCUUAACUGUUGUAUUUGAUUUUAUUAGAUUUUAAUACAUGCUAGCUAAUGUGCCUUUUAAUCGUAAACCGCUUUUAUUAUUAUUUUAAAAGAAUUGCAACGUCGCAAAAA
rnacentral:lncRNA from 1 species